rnacentral:rRNA from 1 species
GAGUUUGAUCCUGGCUCAGGAUGAACCCUGGCGGCGUGCCUAACACAUGCAAGUCGAACGGAGUUACAGUGAAACCUAGUGAUCUGUAACUUAGUGGCGGACGGGUGAGUAACGCGUGGGUAACCUGCCUUGUACUGGGGGAUAACACCUGGAAACAGGUGCUAAUACCGCAUAAGCGCACAGAGCCGCAUGGCUCAGUGUGAAAAACUCCGGUGGUACAAGAUGGACCCGCGUCUGAUUAGCCAGUUGGGGGGGUAACGGCCCACCAAAGCGACGAUCAGUAGCCGGCCUGAGAGGGUGAACGGCCACAUUGGGACUGAGACACGGCCCAAACUCCUACGGGAGGCAGCAGUGGGGAAUAUUGCACAAUGGGGGAAACCCUGAUGCAGCAACGCCGCGUGAGUGAAGAAGUAAUUCGUUAUGUAAAGCUCUAUCAGCAGGGAAGAAAAUGACGGUACCUGAGUAAGCAGCCCCGGCUAACUACGUGCCAGCAGCCGCGGUAAUACGUAGGGGGCAAGCGUUAUCCGGAUUUACUGGGUGUAAAGGGAGCGUAGACGGUUAUGCAAGUCUGAAGUGAAAUGCCAGUGCUCAACACUGGAACUGCUUUGGAAACUGUGUAACUGGAGUGCAGGAGAGGUAAGUGGAAUUCCUAGUGUAGCGGUGAAAUGCGUAGAUAUUAGGAGGAACACCAGUGGCNGAGGCGGCUUACUGGACUGUA